UUGGGACAGGUAUGAAAGAAAGUUUGAGGUCUAAUCUGUCUCUUUUUUGUUUUAAAAUUUGCUGUCUGUGUGAAGAAGCACAGGUUGUUAAAAAAGACAAGAAGACCCUUUUAAGACUUUAUUUAGAAUUCUUUGGCUUUUUCUUUCAAGAAUGUGGCUAAGGUCUAUAAAUUUGGUUGGGGUGACUGAAGAAGAUAAAAUCUUCUUUUGUUUAUUAGUACUUUAGGUUAAAAAAUGACCCAAGAUUUCUUGGUUGUAAGAUAUUAUUUUACUAAAGGGAUAACAGCGUAAUCCUUUCAAAGAGUUCUUAUUGAAGAAAAGGAUUGCGACCUCGAUGUUGACUUGCUUUUUCCUGUUAUGGUGUAUAAGCUGUAAGGGUGGGUCUGUACAACCAUAAAAAUAGU
rnacentral:rRNA from 1 species